rnacentral:rRNA from 1 species
GACGAACGCUGGCGGCGUGCUUAACACAUGCCAGUCGAACGGAAAGGCCCUGCUUUUGUGGGGUGCUCGAGUGGCGAACGGGUGAGUAACACGUGAGUAACCUGCCCUUGACUUUGGGAUAACUUCAGGAAACUGGGGCUAAUACCGGAUAGGAGCUCCUGCUGCAUGGUGGGGGUUGGAAAGUUUCGGCGGUUGGGGAUGGACUCGCGGCUUAUCAGCUUGUUGGUGGGGUAGUGGCUUACCAAGGCUUUGACGGGUAGCCGGCCUGAGAGGGUGACCGGCAACAUUAGGACUGAAAUACGGCCCAGACUCCUACGGGAGGCAGCAGUGGGGAAUAUUGCACAAUGGGCGGAAGCCUGAUGCAGCAACGCCGCGUGCGGGAUGACGGCCUUCGGGUUGUAAACCGCUUUCGCCUGUGACGAAGCGUGAGUGACGGUAAUGGGUAAAGAAGCACCGGCUAACUACGUG